GACGAACGCUGGCGGCGUGCUUAACACAUGCAAGUCGAACGGAAAGGCCCUGCUUUUGUGUGGUUCUCGAGUGGCGAACGUGUGAGUAACACGUGAGUAACCUUCCCUUUACUUUGUGAUAACUUCAGGAAACUGGUGCUACUACCUGCUAGGAGCUCCUGCUGCAUGGUGGGGGUUGGAACGUUUCGGCGGUUGGGGAUGGACUCGCGGCUUAGCAGCUUGUUGGUGGGGUAGUGGCUUACCAAGGCUUUGACGGGUAGCCGGCCUGAGAGGGUGACCGGCCACAUUGGGACUGAGAUACGGCCCAGACUCCUACGGGAGGCAGAAGUGGGGAAUAUUGCACAAUGGGCGGAAGCCUGAUGCAGCAACGCCGCGUGCGGGAUGACGGCCUUCGGGUUGUAAACCGCUUUCGCCUGUGACGAAGCGUGAGUGACGGUAAUGGGUAAAGAAGCACCGGCUAACUACGUG
rnacentral:rRNA from 1 species